rnacentral:lncRNA from 1 species
GCAGCUCCUCCCGCCCCCGCCCUAAUGCGACGCCUCUUGAUUGCAUUUUGUGAACACCUUAUUCUUAGAUCAUUGGUUUUCCAAAGGCUUUGUGGCCGUGAAGCCCUUUGAAUGAAAACUGUGUGGAAGCCCAGAGUAAGAGUGAAGCUGCUCUGGAUGAAGCAGGAGUAGGGGGCCUGAAACCUGCCACAAGCAUCUUCUUUUACCACCAUGGUGACACCUAAGGAGACUUCUUUACAACAGCUAGAAUUCUGCAGAACACAGUUUGAAAACCACUGCCCUAGACAGCAAUAUGUUCGACCUGAAUGACAUUUUCAUCUAUACCUCUGCCGAAACAGUCCAAGUUCAGUUGUUGCCGAACAUUCUAAGGGAUACUAACUAUGAGCCAACUCAGAAAAGGCCAAGAAGAUGGGCGUGUCUUUGCCCCCCAGAGUCAUAUGGGCUGAAAGUGGUAUCAGAUGGACCUAGAUUAACAGCCCUCUGCCCUAGAUGGACUUCCACUCAUUCCUGGAAUUGGAUAGAACCAGAGAACAAUUCAUAUGUACUCUACACUGACAAACCCCUUUACCCAACUUCUUUCACACACACCAGAUGUUCUAGUGGUACUUGAAAUACAUGACUUGGAAGUCUUGAUCCUCCUUAGAUACCUGAAUUGCCAGGUAUUGAAGCUGAUAUUGAAGUUGAUGCCUCAUUGAGGCCAUAUUAGACCAACUUGUACGUUGAACCUCCCGUCAUCGGCCAUGGUACUGUACUUCGUGUGCAAGGGAUAACCAUUAACUAUGAAAGCAAAAUUCAGAUACUGGCAACGUUACCUAAAAGGGUACCUGGUUAUCAUUCAUCUUAAACUACAAGUCACUGUGACUCAACCAGUGGCAGUUACACUGCUCCUUGGUUUUUAUUCAGUUUAACUGCUGUUUCCAAGAUAAAUGAGCUAAUAACCUUAAAAAAAAAAGUUAAAACAAUUUCUCCAUCACUGGCAUUUCUGCCUGUUCUGUUCCAAAAAUUAUGAAUACUCAGCUCUAACUGCAUGUAACCCCGAUCCACAAGAGACAAUCUUUGAAUAUCCUUACUUGGGUGUAAUUUAAAAUGUGGCUGUUUGGAAAAUUUUCUUCUAGCCCACAAGGGAUGUUCUUUUAAGAUAGAUCUUUUGAUGUCUGGUACUAUCAAGUAUAGAUGUUAGGGAUAUUUGGAGGUAGGCCUGUUGGCCAGGCCAUGAUGACUGACUUGCUUGGCAUCUCAAAUUGCAUAUCAUCUACCUUUUUGGUGGAAAUGUAGAAUGACUUGAAAAAAAGUCUACAAAGCUUGCAGCUAAGUAUUAUCAGUAGACUCAAGAGCUUCCUGCUGCUGCUGCUUAAUGUCACAAGACCACAGUCCCUCGUCCUUGUGGAUGUUUUAAUGGAAUUUCAUCUGUCUCAGUGCUGUUGUUUCACACUUAUUCACAGUGGCUGACUUCAUUCCUUGCCGUGAGAUAUUCUCAGGCUUUAAGACAAUUUAUCUGUUUCUGCAGGAAGGAUUCCAUUUAUGAACUCCCAGACCAAAUCACAUCAAACAAGUAGACUUCGAUUUGUGUCAUGAAAGAAAUCUCAUUCCUUUACUACACAGUCAACGUAAGGGCCAGCUGUCCUCAACUACUUUAACAAAUGCACUGGUUAAAUGUUGGGAAAGGUUUCUUUAUGUCUUUGUCUCUUAUCCUUAUGGUGGUUACAUGACUGGGUCUACAAAUCAUCAAACAAGGCCUAAGUCUGUUUACUCUAGACUGUUCACCCUCAACAAAUAAAAAAUCUGAUGACUAGCCUGCUUGUAUAUACAACUAUUAUUUGUAAAGAAGAAAUCAUCUACAAACUAAGUUUUUCUACUACCUUCAAAACGUCAGCUCAAUUUUCUCUUUCUCUGUACUUUACAGAAAAAGAUAUUCAUCUACACUGCCAGUCAUUCCCUUUAAUCCUGUCAAAAUGAGGGGCUUAAGAAUGAGGAUGAUCGUCUGUUCUAGAGUCUAAUGAACACUGUAUAAGAGUUGAUGGUUGAAAAACCAAAACGCCUGAAACUCAAACCUAGUAUCUUGCCUACUAUCUCCAUGCCUCAGAUCUCAUCAGUCAACCAAUCUGAGGCCUUGACUUAUAUAUAAGGUGAUUCUCACAGAUAGGCUGAGUUACAGAGGAUGGAGACUUGAUUACCAAAGAAAGUAGGGCCAAUCUUGAUAAACCUGGCUCUCCCAACCUUAUCAAUCCCAGAUGUAGCAUAGGUUCCUAAACAGAACCUCAAGUCUGAAUUGAGGAUAAAGCCGUCUCCUGAGCUGAAAGCUCUGGGGAAAUGAACAGGAAAAUGAAAGCUGCUGUGCCUGACUGGCCCUUUAAGAUCAGAAAAAUGUAUCCAGAGUAAAGCCUGUGGAUUAACCCUGGAGUACUCAGGAUAAGAACUGAUUUACAGAGCUUCAAUAGUCAUCAUCCUGUUCUUCCAGAUCACGUCUGGCUAAUAGUAUGGCUGGCCCUGCUGAUGGUACCCUACUUGCCUGGUUACCUGAUUCAGCCCUUGCCUGCCUUUUUGGACAUGUUGCUGCAAACAGACUGACUGUGCUUGAGAAGACUACCAGUGAUCUUGGCCUAACUUAUACCCAGGCCCACCAAGGAAUUUUGAACAGAAGCAACCUGCACCUCAGCCUACCAGGACUUAAUGUUCACAACAGGAAGGACCAUUCUGUGUAAUCCUUGACCAACAGCUUUUUCUUGUUGUUAAGUGCAGAGUAAGCCUCUACACCUGUAUUUGAUUGUUUUCAGCACCUGGGACCCCUUUGAUCAGAUCUGCAGGAGUACAGCAGAUUGAAAUCAUUGUCCAUUCCUCUCUCGUGCACUAAUACAGAGAUGAGUCUGAUUCAUCAGCACUCACAGAAAUGUACCAGUUCAACUUGGCAAAAGACUUAACACAAGAAAACUCUUCCACUGAACUUAAAAUUUACCACUGACUUGAAUAGCCUCACAGAACUGUUCACUGGUGGGAGGCUAGUUAUCCUGCUUUAUGUCAGCAAGACAGUUGGGCCUUCAGACUCAUGACCACUGAGUUUACUUAUAUUGAAACUCUGUUGUAUCAUCCAGAGUAUGCUAUUGAACAUGAUUGUUUCAUUCAAAUGGAUUACAAACUUCCUGUGAACAGGACAAACUUACUCCUCAUGAUGUUCUUCCAGAGUAUUAUCGAGGAAGUAACAAUGUUAGCAUCAACUUUAUGACCAGAGAUUAAACUUUUGCGUUAUCUGGUCUUAUCAUUGGCAGGAGUUGUUUUUGAUUGACCAGCAUCCAUUCCAUCUCUUUGUAACAACUCCCUGAUGUUUCUUGGAACCAUAUUUACCUGUUUUCAGUCCACAUGGUUCAGACCUGAUCCAUCAGCAUAGUCCAUCUCCUUGACUGUAGUGAUUGGUUCAGGAAUGUUCAUGUGAUUCAAGUUGGUCUAGUGAUACUGAAGCCCAGGAAUUUUACUGAACUGUGGAGGAGGAGAAGCUCAGAAGCUCUCUUUAUUGAAGUCGCUUAGCUUUGUAAGAUGAAAAACUCAAACCACCAGGGCCCACCAUAUCAAAUGAGCCAGUCAGAAAGUGCCAGUGCAGAAGAAAGCAGAGCCAAAUGAUGGAGAGACUUGAGUCCUGAUAACAAAGUUUGUGCCCCUGGAUCCAACCGUGCCUGAAGCUAGUAUAUCCCCUGGACUUUUCAGUUAUGUGAACCAAUAAAUACCCUGUUUUGCUUAAGUUACUUUGAGUUGGGUUUCUCUUGCUUGAAAUUGAGUCCUACCUGAUACAGUAUCUACCAAUAUCGAAACUUGACAGAUCCAAGUAUUUAUUAAAUUAGAGCUUAUGGCCAUACUGAAAUUAUCUUCCAAAUCGGAACGCAAAAUGAGACAGGAACUGACAAUAUUCAAGUUACUACAGAAGUAUGAAAAUUACAUGGUAGAAAAAUGUAGAAGAAAACUUAAAAGUUUAUCAAAAGGAUUGGUUAAAUAACACAUGGUUCAGCCAUAAAAGAAAAUCUAGGUGUCUGUUAAAAUGGAUGAAGUAAAUUUAUUGUGUGUAGACAUGGAAAAAUGGCCAUAAUAUAUUAAGUGAAACAAACUAUUGACAGGAAAAUGUAUGAACUCAUUUAAAAAUGUGCAUAUUUAUGUUUAUAAUGCAUAGAAAAGUCUAUUAAUGGCUUUCUUUGAACAGUGUAGAUUACAUGAGAUUUUCAACUUUAUACAUUUCUGUAUUUGAAUAUUUUACACUACUCACAUUACUUUUAAACUUUAUUUAAAAAUAAAGAAUUUUAAAAAUUAAAUUUAGUCCUUACUGUUUGACCUUGGCAAGUUACUUGACACUGAGCCUGUUUUGUGAAAUAAUUUAAAAUACUUGUCUUUAUAUUAGUGAAUAUUUUGAUAAACAUGUUCAUCAUCCUUUACUCAAACUGACAGAUUGUUGCACCUUUAUUUGUUUGAGGAACUCAAAGCUCAGUAAUUUUCUUAAUUUUUCAAACAUCUCUCUUUAAAUGUCGUGAGUGUCUUUGAAUUAUCAGGACUUCAUAGUUUCAAUGUUCAUCGAUUAUUAUUCCAGUUCUCAACUGAUGUUAAUCUAUUCAGACCUCUAUUGGAGUGUUCACAGUAGACAGAAGGAAAAAGUUAAAUCCUUGAGUGUUCUGAUCUCACUUCAAGCAGGGUCGAUAAUGACCUUUUCAUUGCUAAGUCCAUUACAUCUUAUCUGAACUUUAAGCAGUGCAGACAACUCCAGCCAGCAUCUUGCCGUUCUCUUCUCUUAGAUGCUGUGACACUUCCAAUUUUCUUCCUGGCUAUUGCUGCGUUAUAGGUUCUUUUCUUCUCCCCAUCAUUUUAGUAUUGGUUUAGUGGACAUUCAUCGAUCUUGCCUCUCCCAAAUCAUUUCCCCUUUCCUUUCAUGAUAGAUCCCCACUUUUCCUGUGGAAUGCAACUCUUUCCCAUUCUGUGGUUUUAGUAGAAUGGUAAAUUACAAUAUUCUGGCCUCUUACGCCCUUGGCUGAGGUUUGAUCAUGUGAUCCAAGCUUGUCCAAUCAAAAAUCCCCUCCCACCAGAGCUUCGAGUCUUAACAGAGGUAGCAAAAUUGUAGGAGCUGAGUCAAUGUGAUGGUAGUGUCCCAAGGAAACCAUAUAAGAGUUGGUGCAAGGACGUCCCCAGAGGUGCUCUGGUUCCUCUUGUCAAGGCUUGGUCAUCCAGAUUUUCUUUUGAUUCUGUAGACUACCAUAUAUCCUCCUUAUAAUAAUGUUCCCUUUUAAUUUGUCAGCCAAAUAAAAAGUUCCGUUGCUUGCAACCAAAUGACAAUGAUUACAGAAAUCUUUAACAGUUAAAUAGUAGGCUUUGGACCCUCAGUAACAUGGAGGAUCUGGAAUUGAUUCUUGCACUGAGAGUGAAUUACAGGCAGCAACAACUCUUGCUCUAUGUCCUAGGGUAGGGAAUUGAGCAAUUUAUAGUGGCAAAACAGCUAGUA